UUGGAGGGCAAGUCUGGUGCCAGCAGCCGCGGUAAUUCCAGCUCCAAUAGCGUAUAUUAAAGUUGUUGCAGUUAAAAAGCUCGUAGUUGAAUUUCGGGAUCAGACUGUCGGUCGUGCCUCGGUACGCACUGGCAUUAUUGGUUCCUACCUUCUGAAGAACCGCGAUGUCAUUAAUUUGGUGUCGUGGGGAAUCAGGACUGUUACUUUGAAAAAAUUAGAGUGUUUAAAGCAGGCGCACGCUUGAAUACAUUAGCAUGGAAUAA
rnacentral:rRNA from 1 species